UACGGAGGGUGCAAGCGUUGUCCGGAUUUAUUGGGUUUAAAGGGUGCGUAGGCGGCCCGUUAAGUCAGUGGUGAAAUCCCAGGGCUCAACCCUGGAACUGCCAUUGAUACUGACGGGCUUGAGUUCGGUUAAGGCGGGCGGAACUGGUGGUGUAGCGGUGAAAUGCAUAGAUACCACCAAGAACCCCGAUUGCGCUAGGCAGCUCGCUGAGCCGAAACUGACGCUGAGGCACGAAAGCGUGGGGAGCGAACAGG
rnacentral:rRNA from 1 species